GACCCGAGCGGGGGGGGGGGCGCGCUUCCCUCUUCGGCGCUGACGCCACCCCACCCCCUCCCCGCCGCGGCGCCCCUCGCGCAUGCGGAGCCCCCUGGGCGGGCGACAGGCUCGUGGCUGGCCCGUCACGCGGCUGGAGCCCCCUCGCCCGCGCCUCGUCCCCCUCAGGAAUAAGAGGGCGGUCGGCGCCCCCCGCCCCCUCACGCGAAGCCCCGCGCAGAGGUGGCGCCGGAGCGGCCGCGUGGGGGGGGGGGUCGGGGGCUGUUUGGCGUUGCAGCCCCGUGGCCCUCCCGGCUUCGCUGGCCGGGCAGCGGGAAGGCCAGAGCAGAGGCUGUUCCUGGCAGGAGGUAAAACGGGGCCGAGGGUGGGGCCCCUGCUGAUCCCGGCCAGGGUUCCUUCAGAAGCCCCGGUCAGGCCUGAACAACGAAGCCGAGGCCUCGUUCCACGGGCCCGGUAAUCGGCACCCGGCGGGCGAGGCAGAAGCAGGUGCUCGAGGUGGCCCGCUGGAGAGCGCGGGGAACCCGCAGACGCCGUUGGCGGGCAGAUCGAGAGCAGGCGCUCAACCUCGCAGCAACCCUGUGAUGUAAUUCAGCCCGAGAAAGAGUGGCUCUGACCCGAGGGAUCUGAUGAAGGUGAAGGACAUGCAAUUACAUUGGUCCUACUUACAGCAAAAUGGCAUGAAACACACGGGCUUAAAUUGAACAUGAACGUGUUUUAAUGAGCAAAAAAAGGAGUCUGAAGCUUUCGCUGGAAAAGUGGCUUUCCAGGGAUCCAAGCAGAUAUCUUUAAGAAGAUAAGAAAAACCCUGCUGGAUCGAGUCGACUGUCCAUCCUCUUGUUUCCCACAACGGCCCACCAAGAGCCCCUGGGAAGCCCCUACAGCAGCAACAGCUUUCCCCUGCUCUCCUCCCACCACAAGCGGCAUCCAGGGGAAGUGACCUCUGACUGCGGAGGUCCCGUUCAGCCUUCGCUGCUCUCAUUCAUGGAUUUGUUUCAUCCUCAUUUAAAAACAAUGGCUGUGAUCACUUCUUGUCGCUAUACAUUCAAUAAAUUGUGUUCUGUGCAGAA